rnacentral:rRNA from 1 species
GACGAACGCUGGCGGCGCGCUUAACACAUGCAAGUCGAGCGAAGCGGCGGACGGGUGAGUAACACGUGAGUAACCUGCCUUAGACAUUGGGCUAGCCUCGGGAAACCGGGGUUAAUACCAAAUGGUCUAAGAUGGACUCGCGGCCCAUUAGCUAGUUGGUGAGGUAACGGCCCAACAAGGCGACGAUUCGUAGCCGGCCUGGUAGGGGUAACGGCCACAUGGGAACUGAGAAACGGUCCAAACUCUACGGCAGGCAGCAGUGGGGAAGAUUGCACAAUGGAGGGAACUCUGAUGCAGCGACGCCGCUUGAACGAAGUAGGCUUUCGAGUCGUAAAGUUCUUUUAUAUGGGAAGCGGUACCAUAAGAAAAAGCCCCGGCUAACUACGUGCCAGCAGCCGCGGUAAUUC